AGCUACGGAGGAAGGUGGGGAUGACGUCAAAUCCUCAUGGCCUUUAUGACCAGGGCUACACACGUACUACAAUGGCCGGUACAAAGGGCAGCGACACAGCGAUGUGAAGCGAAUCCCGAAAAGCCGGUCUCAGUCCGGAUUGGAGUCUGCAACUCGACUCCAUGAAGUUGGAAUCGCUAGUAAUCGCGGAUCAGCACGCCGCGGUGAAUACGUUCCCGGGCCUU
rnacentral:rRNA from 1 species